AUCAAACAAUAUAAAACUCGUAUAAUAGCAGGAAUAUGGCCUGCAAGUUUCUACCAGAUGACCGUUAAUCGUCUGACUACGGGUAAGCGUAUAAA
rnacentral:ncRNA from 1 species